rnacentral:lncRNA from 1 species
GUUGCUAGAUAUUGAUUGCUAAAGUUUAAUUGUUCAAUAAUUUUUUUAUCAUUGUUAUUAGCAUCAGAAAUUUUAAAUGGGCUUGCUACAACAGACGUUUUUUUAACUGAGAUUAGAACUGUUUCCAAAGGAGGAUGACUAGAAGAAACUUUUGACUUAUCUUCUUUAACCCACUGUGUUUUGGUAACCACGUUACAUUUAUUUUGAAAUUGUUCAUACCAAUCAUAAAAUGAAAUAUUCAUUCUUUCAUUUUUAAUAAAUCUUUUCCAUCUGUUUAUUACUUUAUCAUGCUCUUUUUCUGUGGGGUGAUU